ACCCCUGGGAAACUGGGACUAAUCCCUGAUAAGUCUCCGUAGCUGGAAUGCUCGGAGACGGAAAGCUCCGGCGCCACAGGAUGGGUCUGCGGCCUAUCAGGGUAGUAGUGGGUGUAGAGUACCUACUAGCCUACGACGGGUACGGGUUGUGAGAGCAAGAGCCCGGAGAUGGAUUCUGAGACACGAAUCCAGGCCCUACGGGGUGCAGCAGGCGCGAAAACUUUACAAUGCGGGACACCGCGAUAAGGGGACCUCGAGUGCUGGCAUACAAUGCUGGCUGUCCAGCUGCCUAAAUAGCAGUUGAUAGCAAGGGCCGGGCAAGACCGGUGCCAGCCGCCGCGGUAACACCGGCGGCUCGAGUGGUAACCGCUAUUAUUGGGUCUAAAGGGUCUGUAGCCUGCAGGUUAAGUCUCUUGGUAAAUCCGGCAGCUCAACUGUCGGGGUUCAGGGGAUACUGGUCUGCUCGGGACCGGGAGAGGUGAGAGGUACCUCAGGGGUAGGGGUGAAAUCUUGUAAUCCUUGAGGGACCACCAGUGGCGAAGGCGUCUCACCAGAACGGGUCCGACGGCAAGGGACGAAAGCUAGGGGCACGAACCGGAUUAGAUACCCGGGUAGUCCUAGCCGUAAACGAUACUCGCUAGGUGUCGGCCACGGUGCGACCGUGGUCGGUGCCGUAGGGAAGCCGUGAAGCGAGCCACCUGGGAAG
rnacentral:rRNA from 1 species